GAUGAAGAACGUAGCGAAAUGCGAUAAGUAAUGUGAGUUGCAGAAUUCAGUGAAUCAUCGAAUCUUUGAACGCACAUUGCGCCCGCCAGUACUCUGGCGGGCAUGCCUGUUCGAGCGUCAUUUCAACCCUCGGGCCCCGCAUUCGUGCGGCCCCGGCGUUGGGGACCGGCCUCCGCAUCGGACGGCCGCCCCCGAAACCCAGUGGCGGUCCCGCCGCGGCCUUCUCUGCGUAGUAGCAUACACCUCGCACUGGAGAGCGGCGCGGCCACGCCGUAAAAGAAACGAACUUUCUGAAGGUUGACCUCGGAUCAGGUAGGAAUACCCGCUGAACUUAAGCAUAUCAAUAAGCGGAGGA
rnacentral:misc_RNA from 1 species